rnacentral:rRNA from 1 species
UACGUAGGUGGCAAGCGUUGUCCGGAAUCAUUGGGCGUAAAGAGCGCGUAGGCGGCCCAGUAAGUCCGCUCUGAAAGUCAGGGGCUCAACCCCUGAAUGCGGGUGGAUACUGCUGGGCUAGAGUCCGGAAGAGGCGACUGGAAUUCAUGGUGUAGCAGUGAAAUGCGUAGAGAUCAUGAGGAAGACCAGUGGCGAAGGCGGGUCUCUGGACAGUUCCUGACACUGAGACACGAAGGCCAGGGGAGCAAACGGG